AGCUCAGUGGCAGAGCAUGUGCUUAGCAUGCGCAAGGUCCUGGGUUCAAUCCCCAG
rnacentral:tRNA from 1 species